rnacentral:rRNA from 1 species
AUGUUCUCUUCUCAAUCCUUGAGUCGUGUAACCAACAUUCGCACUGCCUUGAUCAAUGCACAGAAGGGCAAUCAGUCGGUUGCCGCAUACUUCGCCUCCAUGCGUGGUCUUGGCGAUGAACUCGCCGUGGCCUGCAAGCCAAACCAGGACGACGAGCUCAUCUCCUACCUGCUACAUGGGCUGGACAUGGACUAUCAGCCCCUCGUCCCUGCCAUAGACGCCCACAUCACGCCGGUCUCCCUCGACGAGCUCUACGCCAUGUUGAGCAACUUCGAUCAGCAUGUCGCCCAAUUUCACAGCACCAGUGGC